rnacentral:rRNA from 1 species
GGGCCCGCACAAGCGGCGGAGCAUGUUGCUUAAUUCGAGGCAACGCGAAGAACCUUACCAGGGUUUGACAUCCUGCGAAUCUCUUGGAAACAGGAGAGUGCCUUCGGGAACGCAGUGACAGGUGGUGCAUGGCUGUCGUCAGCUCGUGUCGUGAGAUGUUGGGUUAAGUCCCGCAACGAGCGCAACCCACGUCUUUAGUUGCCAGCAUUUAGUUGGGCACUCUAGAGAGACCGCCGGUGAUAAACCGGAGGAAGGUGUGGAUGACGUCAAGUCAUCAUGCCCCUUACAUCCUGGGCUACACACGUACUACAAUGCUACGGACAAAGGGCAGCAAACUCGCGAGAGCUAGCAAAUCCCAUAAACCGUGGCUCAGUUCAGAUCGUAGGCUGCAACUCGCCUACGUGAAGGCGGAAUCGCUAGUAAUCGCAGGU